UUCUGACUGUGCAACAUUCCGCUCCUCCGUGGUGCCUCCUCCCCUUCCUUCGCACCUCCCUUACCUUCCCAUGGCACCUCUACCGGCUAUGGCCUCUUAGGCUCUUACCUCCCACAACGCCCCUCCCUCUCCCUCCUCUUGAACCCUAGGACAGCAACAAGGUAUCAAAUCUAAUCCUCACCAUCCUGCAGGUUAAUUGGAGUUUAGAAUAGCAAGAAUUGUGUGUGUAGAUUCAGUCCAAGUGUUGCUAUGCGCUCUGAAUUUUUCCAAACUCUGAAAUUUGUGGUCUUGCACAUGCAGUAGUGUACUAAUUAUAUCGGUUCUAGGCUUCUACCUGGUUCUUUGAAAGUCGUAGGAUCAAAUACAUCAGAUAUGUCUCUAGAGAUGGAUAGACAUUUGGAGCAAUAUGGUUUAUGCUGAAAUCAUCCACCGCUAUUCAUAACUCUGAUUAAGAGGAACUCCAAAUUGUGAUAACCAUUGAAAAAAAGUCAUCUUUCAAGGAAUAGAUCUAGCUAAGCAAGUUGAAUCAUAUUAUUUUGUAUAGACCACUGUUGUGAUAACCAGGAUGAUAUUGAAGAGUUCGUUGAUAUACUUGAACAUUACUACACUUGUGGUUUACAUCAGGGAAUACUCUGUCCAAUUUUUUUAAUUUUUUUAGUAUUUGCUAUGGUGAUUGUACACAUAGCUUCUCAUCAAUGUAUACCGCAGUUAUUAGUACAAACCAAAUAAUUUUGAUAUGAAAAUUUUGUAAAUCGCUGAUUCAGUAGUACACAUGAUAUCUCAGAACAUAAACCAUUUACCUUUUCACUCGAUUGGUUUUUGUAGCAUAACCUUUUACAGUACCCUCUUUUUUUGUGUGGGUAAAGCCAGAUACAGCAGUUUCUUACUGCAGUUUGUUAACAGUUACAACAUCUAGCAAGCAAUUUUAAAACAAUUUAAUUAGUAGAACUGAAUUGAUCAUCUGUUGAGAUGAUCUACUCACCUGUAGACAACUUUAAAACAAUUUUGAUCAAUGAAUUUGGAUUGUGCCAGAGUUUGGGGUGAAUUAGGUGUAACAACAUCUAGCAAGCAGUCAUAUCUUAAUUCUUUAAUCUUGUUGUACUUUGUGAUUAGCAUAGCCUGGAUAGAAAAAGCAAUUCACAUAGCAGGGGGAGGGGUGCUAUUGUGUCUCAGUUGCUACCUUAUUCAAUUAUUGACCAUGACAAGAAAGAACAUUUGCCCUAUCUGCAUCCAGGAAAGACAGGCUUCCAAAUUAAGGUAAGCUAAUUUAAUUAGUAGAACUGAUAUGGGUUAUGGAUUAUCAUACCUAUCUGUGUCAAUUUUUCAUUUUCCAUGGUGGAAUUGGAAGGGCCAAUUUCAGUUACAAGAUAAGAACAUUUUCCAUUGUACAAUUGUGCCUAUCUGCAGUAGAUAAUUUCAGUUACAUGGGAAUUGGAAGAGCUAAAAGAAGGGUAGGAACUGAGAACCUUGCAUCUACAUAUUGUACUCUUGCCCUGGUUCCAAUAUAUAAUAGCAGCAAAAAACUACUGGUCGACAAGGUAAAUAAGCAUUUUCUUGCAUCUAAAUAAGUGUACCAAAUGGACCAUGGAUAUUUCCUGAAGAAGAUAUGUGAAUCUACCAGAGGCUCUCAAAGACAAAAUCCUUUGCUGUCUCCCAAUAAAUGAAGCCAUCCGAACUUGCCUCUUGUCAAGGAAUUGGAGGUAUACAUGGGCUUCAAUGACCGAACUGAUGUUCAGCACAGAUGAUUUUAUUUCAGAGGAUAUAUAGGUUAUGUAGGUUAAAUAGCAAAAAAACUUGUCUGUGUAUUCAGGCCAUCAGACUUCAGGCACUUAUUCUUCUUGCCAGCACUCAGCAUUACUCUUUAUUGCUAUUGCAUAGAAGAUAAAUUUUUUAUUACUACAUUGGAAAUUAUGAGCUGUCCUUAUCUAUGAUUUAGCUGACAUGGAUGUUUUUAUAUUUUUAAAUGCCUGACCCAGUGACCCUUCUGAUUAGAUUUAAUCAAGCAAUAACAUUAUAAUACAAAUUGUGAACAGUUUGGUCAGGCUAUGGAAUUCUUUAAAUGCUUCAUUUUUUCAAUUUUAUGUACCGUUGUUCCAAACUGAAAGAUUGAAGUCUGAACUUCUGCUUGGCACCUUAAGUUCUUAACGGAGAUGUAAAUUUACAACUCUUGCCUUUUUUUUUUCAGGGUGCUAAAACGGAUGCAUGGAAGGAGAGGCUAGCUUCAAACACAUUUGCUCAAAAUGUAUAAAUGUUUGUGUCUACAGUACCUGGAGGCAGAGUAUACAGAGCAGAAUAUCUUGACCCUGUUGUUUGGUCUUUAUGUCUCACUAGCAUUCCUGCUGAUUCAAUUAACUAAACUUGAGAAGGUUACUAGACUUACCAAGGUUACUGAUCCUAUGGCCGAAGCCUCAAAGGUGCCUCCAUCAUAUGGCAAAUGCUUUUUUAAUAAGAGUUCAAAAGUUCCUGUGGUGAAUAACAUUUCAAAUCUCAAUGUUGACAUACAUGCUCUGCAUAUAGUUUCUCUUGUUUUGUUUAGAAGAUUUUGAAUGAGCUCGUUAAAUACUAUCUUCAUUCCUAAAUGUAAGAAGUUCUAACUUUGUGUUAAA